AUGCUAUAUUCCAAGUCCAUGAAGAAAGUGAGACUGGCAGAGGUCAAACACUGUAAGGGAAAGAUUCAGAGCUUGGGUUCAAAGCCAGGCCUCUCUGCUCACCAAGCCCAUUCUCCUUCCUCCCUAGGCCUGGCUGGAAACUGCCUGUCGUCUGCAGAAGAGCCUCCGCGUCAGAGUAUGUUCCCGGGAGUAGAAGUGUCACAGUCGCAGACGCAGAUGCCAGGGCUCCUGCUUGGUACACACACCCUGAAAUCCGCGGUGCGCAGAAUCACAGACCUGCGCGUGCCCCUACAGAUCAGAAACCAAGGCGCGCUGAGCAAGCUGCGCCUGUGCACGCCUGCUGCGAGCCACCUGCCUGGUGCACGCCUGCCGGGAGCCCUGGGCAGCAGGGGUAGGCCCCGGCCUGGCAGGACGCCGGUGCCUGCUGGUGUUCUCGGCUGCCUCUCCUGUUCUCCGUGGGGAGCGUAGGUGGUUGUGCAGUGCCAAGGCCACUCCUCUUUGAAACAAAACAGCACAUUUGACUUGGAACUGGCCCCAAUCCCCUUUUUCAACUGGGCUGCUGCAAGACACGGAACGGUGUCAGCCAGACCCACGCUUUCAGCUCCUGCAGGGUUGCUAUCUGCACUUGAGCCUGCACUCCCUGCAGCUGCAGCCCGGGGCGCCCUUCUCCCCUGCCUCCCCUUCCCGCAGGCCACUGCCGCCGGCGCACCCCCCAUCCGCCGACCUCUCUCUCUGCCGGGGUGUUUCCUCUCUGUGUUCAGGUCUCACACUGACGGUAGCUGAGGUCACGCAGACCCCCGAGGCGUCCUACCGCUUGGCAGGACCUGGACCCGGCUCAUGCUGGAUGCCGAUCGUCUGUUCCAUCGUUACUCCUUCAGACCGUUCAGACCGUGGCUACAACGUGCAAGAGUCAACACAAUAUGUUUUUUUUUUUUUUUGACAGUCAGAGUGGACAGUGAGAGAGAGAGAGAGAAAGGUCUUCCUUUUGCCGUUGGUUCACCUUCAAUGGCCGCCACGGUGGGCGCGAUGCGGCCGGUGCACCGCGCUGAUCCGAUGGCAGGAGCCAGGUGCUUCUCCUGGUCUCCCAUGGGGUGCAGGGCCCAAGCACUUGGGCCAUCCUCCACUGCACUCCCGGGCCACAGCAGAGAGCUGGCCUGGAAGAGGGGCAACCGGGACAGAAUCCGGCGCCCCAACCGGGACUAGAACCUGGUGUGCCGGCGCCGCAAGGCGGAGGAUUAGCCUAGUGAGCCGCGGCGCCGGCCACAAUAUGCUUUUCCAAAUGGCAUCUGUACUGAACACUGACAGCUUUCUUCUUGCCGUGACUCCCUAAGUAACGUAAAGCAGGUAGUAACACUGACAUAGGUCCACAGAAGGAAUCUGGACAUGAUUGAAAGCAUGCCAGGUGCAGCCAGUUAAACUGCGCCUGUGACAGCAGCUUCCAAUAUGGACACCGGUUCGAGUCCCGGUUGCUCCACUUUCUAUCCAGCUCCCUGCUAAUGUCCCUGGGAAAGCAGUGGAAGAUGCCCCAGGUGCUUGUGGGUUCCGCAUCUGCAUGGGAGACCCAGAAGAAGCUCCUGGCUCCUGUCUUCCACCUGGAAGAUUCUCUCUCUCUCUCUCUCUCUCUCUCUCUCUCAGAUCCCCCCCAUCACUCUGCUUUUCAAAUAAGUAAUCAACACAUAUUUAUUCUUAGGUGUUGAAAUUUAACUGAAAUGUGAUCCCUGUUAAACAUAAGAGUGGGAAUAAGAGAGGGAAGAGAUGUAUAAUUUGGGACAUGCUCAAGCUGACUUGCCCCAAAUGGUAGAGUUAGAAACAUACCAGGGGAUUCCAAUUCAAUCCCAUCAAGGUGGCAUGUACCAAUGCCAUCUUACUAGUCCAAGUGAUCAAUUUCAGUUCACAAUUGAUCAUAAUGAAAGGACUAAGAGUCAAAGGGAGCACAUAAACAAGUCUAGUACCUGCUAACACUAACCGAUAGAAUAAAUAAAGGGGAGAGUGAUCCA
rnacentral:lncRNA from 1 species